CUUAAUAGAGCUUGAAGUUACCAAUCCCCUUGGAGGACCUACUUAGAGCACUUCAACUUUAUAGAAAUGAACUGAAAUGUCAAUAACACUAAGCUACAUACAUCAAGAAUCAUAACGUACUCAACUUCUGAAGGAUUUGUAAUUUUUGAGAUGAAGCAACCAGAGUAUAUCAAGUCUUUUCUGGGGUACAUAGGUCAGAUGACAGCUUCUUAUACACUACAAAAGCCAAAAAGAUGAAUAUACAUACAGACAC